UGAGGAAUAUUGGUCAAUGGGGGAGAGCCUGAACCAGCCAGGUAGCGUGAAGGAUGACUGCCCUAUGGGUUGUAAACUUCUUUUAUAAAGGAAUAAAGUCGGGUAUGGAUACCCGUUUGCAUGUACUUUAUGAAUAAGGAUCGGCUAACUCCGUGCCAGCAGCCGCGGUAAUACGGAGGAUCCGAGCGUUAUCCGGAUUUAUUGGGUUUAAAGGGAGCGUAGAUGGAUGUUUAAGUCAGUUGUGAAAGUUUGCGGCUCAACCGUAAAAUUGCAGUUGAUACUGGAUAUCUUGAGUGCAGUUGAGGCAGGCGGAAUUCGUGGUGUAGCGGUGAAAUGCUUAGAUAUCACGAAGAACUCCGAUUGCGAAGGCAGCCUGCUAAGCUGCAACUGACAUUGAGGCUCGAAAGUGUGGGUAUCAAACAGGAUUAGAUACCCUGGUAGUCCACACGGUAAACGAUGGAUACUCGCUGUUGGCGAUAGACUGUCAGCGGCUUAGCGAAAGCGUUAAGUAUCCCACCUGGGGAGUACGCCGGCAACGGUGAAACUCAAAGGAAUUGACGGGGGCCCGCACAAGCGGAGGAACAUGUGGUUUAAUUCGAUGAUACGCGAGGAACCUUACCCGGGCUUGAAUUGCAGACGAAUUGCUUGGAAACAGGCAAGCCGCAAGGCGUCUGUGAAGGUGCUGCAUGGUUGUCGUCAGCUCGUGCCGUGAGGUGUCGGCUUAAGUGCCAUAACGAGCGCAACCCUCGUGUCCAGUUACUAGCAGGUUAUGCUGAGGACUCUGGACAGACUGCCAUCGUAAGAUGUGAGGAAGGUGGGGAUGACGUCAAAUCAGCACGGCCCUUACGUCCGGGGCUACACACGUGUUACAAUGGGGGGUACAGCAGGCAGCUACCGGGCGACCGGAUGCCAAUCCCGAAAGCCUCUCUCAGUUCGGACUGGAGUCUGCAACCCGACUCCACGAAGCUGGAUUCGCUAGUAAUCGCGCAUCAGCCACGGCGCGGUGAAUACGUUCCC
rnacentral:rRNA from 1 species